AGCAGCCGCGGUAAUUCCAGCUCCAAUAGCGUAUAUUAAAGUUGUUGCAGUUAAAAAGCUCGUAGUUGAAUUUCGGGAUCAGUACGCUGGUCGUGCCUUUGGUAUGUACUGGUGUCACUGAUUCCUCCCUUCUGAAGAGCCGUUAUGCCAUUUAUUUGGUGUGGCGGGGAAUCAGGACUGUUACUUUGAAAAAAUUAGAGUGUUUAAAGCAGGCUCGCGCUUGAAUACAUUAGCAUGGAAUAAUGAAAUAGGACGUUUGAUCUUAUUUUGUUGGUCUCUAGGAUCGACGUAAUGAUUAGUAGGGAUAGUUGGGGGCAUUAGUAUUCAAUUGUCAGAGGUGAAAUUCUUGGAUUUAUUGAAGACUAACUACUGCGAAAGCAUUUGCCAAGGAUGUUUUCAUUAAUCAAGAACGAAAGUUAGGGGAUCGAAGACGAUCAGAUACCGUCGUAGUCUUAACCAUAAACUAUGCCGACUAGGGAUCGGAUGAUGUUAUUUUUAAUGACUC
rnacentral:rRNA from 1 species